rnacentral:rRNA from 1 species
UACGAAGGGUGCAAGCGUUACUCGGAAUUACUGGGCGUAAAGCGUGCGUAGGUGGUUUGUUAAGUCUGAUGUGAAAGCCCUGGGCUCAACCUGGGAAUUGCAGUGGAUACUGGCAGGCUGGAGUACGGUAGAGGAAGGUGGAAUUCCCGGUGUAGCAGUGAAAUGCGUAGAUAUCGGGAAGAACACCCGUGGCGAAGGCGGCUCUCUGGGACGGUACUGACGCUGAGACGCGAAAGCGUGGGGAGCGAACAGG